rnacentral:rRNA from 1 species
AAUAGAUACCCUGGUAGUCCACGCCGUAAACGAUGAGUGCUAAGUGUUAGAGGGUUUCCGCCCUUUAGUGCUGCAGCUAACGCAUUAAGCACUCCGCCUGGGGAGUACGGCCGCAAGGCUGAAACUCAAAGGAAUUGACGGGGGCCCGCACAAGCGGUGGAGCAUGUGGUUUAAUUCGAAGCAACGCGAAGAACCUUACCAGGUCUUGACAUCCUCUGCCAACCCUAGAGAUAGGGCGUUCCCCUUCGGGGGACAGAGUGACAGGUGGUGCAUGGUUGUCGUCAGCUCGUGUCGUGAGAUGUUGGGUUAAGUCCCGCAACGAGCGCAACCCUUGAUCUUAGUUGCCAGCAUUCAGUUGGGCACUCUAAGGUGACUGCCGGUGACAAACCGGAGGAAGGUGGGGAUGACGUCAAAUCAUCAUGCCCCUUAUGACCUGGGCUACACACGUGCUACAAUGGAUGGUACAAAGAGCUGCGAACCCGGCGAGGGUAAGCGAAUCUCAUAAAGCCAUUCUCAGUUCGGAUUGU